rnacentral:rRNA from 1 species
AGUGAACGCUGGCGGUAGGCCUAACACAUGCAAGUCGAACGGCAGCACAGUGAGAGCUCGCUCUUACGGGUGGCGAGUGGCGGACGGGUGAGGAAUACAUCGGAAUCUACUUUUUCGUGGGGGAUAACGUAGGGAAACUUACGCUAAUACCGCAUACGACCUACGGGUGAAAGCAGGGGAUCUUCGGACCUUGCGCGAUUGAAUGAGCCGAUGUCGGAUUAGCUAGUUGGCGGGGUAAAGGCCCACCAAGGCGACGAUCCGUAGCUGGUCUGAGAGGAUGAUCAGCCACACUGGAACUGAGACACGGUCCAGACUCCUACGGGAGGCAGCAGUGGGGAAUAUUGGACAAUGGGCGCAAGCCUGAUCCAGCCAUACCGCGUGGGUGAAGAAGGCCUUCGGGUUGUAAAGCCCUUUUGUUGGGAAAGAAAAGCAGCAGGUUAAUACCCCGCUGUUCUGACGGUACCCAAAGAAUAAGCACCGGCUAACUUCGUG